rnacentral:lncRNA from 1 species
CCUCAGUGGGAGCUGGAGGAGGCGGCCUCGCUGCGGGAAGGAGAUUGCGUGGGGUCCAAAUACUCACAACUGCCAUUGUUGAGCACCUAUGUGCACCCGCUGCCUUCCGUAUGUAUUAUUUCCUGCAGCUGCUGUGACAAAUGACCACAAUUUCAGUGGCUUAAAACAACACCCAUCUACUCUUUACCAUUCUAGAGGCCAGAAGAGUCUGAAAUCAGCUUCCCACGGCUAAAGUCAAGGUGUUGGGAGGGCUGGCUCUUUCUGGAGACCCUAGGGAAGAAUCUGUUCCCUGUCUUUUCUAGCUUCUGGAGACCACCUGCAUUUCAUGGCUUGUGAUGGCGCGGUGACCUCCAGAAGCUAGAAAAGGCAAGAAAACAAUAGCUUCUGUUGUCCCGCCUCCUACUUCCUCCCUUGACCUUCCUGCCUCCUCUUCUAAGGACCUUUGUGAUUACAUUAGGGACACCUGUAUAUUCCAGACCCUUAAUUUAAUCACACCUGCAAGGACACCACCCUCACCCCCUCCCCCCCCCCCCCCCCCCGAUUUUUUUUUCCAUAUAAGAGAACAUCCACGGGGGCCAGGGAUUAAGACAUGAAUAUCUCUGUGAGUCAUUGUUUAGCCUCACACUCCAUGCAUUCUCUGAAUUCUCCCUCAUCAUAACUCCUUUUACAGAUAAGAAAAUCAUCAAGGCUCAGAGAGGUGAAGUCACUUGUCCAAGGUCAUCCAGCACAUGAGUUUAUUCACCCGUUGCCUGUCAAGGAAUUCCGGAAAGGCUUCCUGAAGGAGGUGACCUGUGAGCUGAGAUCUGAAGAGUGAUUUUCCCCAGUGUGUUUUAGUCAGGGGAGGGCAUGGGGCCUCUCAGAAGACAGCAGGGAACUGAACAGGGGUCACUGUCAGCAAAGCCAGUGCCCGAGAGACUUCUGCUGAGAACUGCUUCGUCAUCCUUAGCCAGAUGCGAACCUUGUCUUUUGGUGGUAAUAACACAUCUACUUCUGGGAUGCAGAGAUGGUCAUAUGACUCAGAUUUAGCCAACCAAAAUGCCCUAUUUGCCUGGCCACCGUAACUGAUUCAGGAAAGGCCACAGGACCCAAGCCCUCUGGGAGU